AACGAACGCUGGCGGCAUGCCUAACACAUGCAAGUCGAACGAGACCUUCGGGUCUAGUGGCGCACGGGUGCGUAACGCGUGGGAACCUGCCCUUAGGUUCGGAAUAACUCCCCGAAAGGGGUGCUAAUACCGGAUAAUGUCUUCGGACCAAAGAUUUAUCGCCUUUGGAUGGGCCCGCGUUGGAUUAGCUAGUUGGUAGGGUAAAAGCCUACCAAGGCGACGAUCCAUAGCUGGUCUGAGAGGAUGAUCAGCCACACUGGGACUGAGACACGGCCCAGACUCCUCCGGGGGGCAGCAGGGGGGAAAAUGGGACAAUGGGCGAAAGCCUGACCCAGCAAUGCCGGGGGAGUUAUGAAGGCCUUAGGGUUGUAAAGCUCUUUUCCCCGGAAUGAUAAUAACAGUCCCGGGAGAAAAAGCCCCGCCUAACUCCGU
rnacentral:rRNA from 1 species